rnacentral:ncRNA from 1 species
UUCUUCAGGGCGGGGUGAAAUUCCCCACCGGCGGUAUAGUCCGCGAGCAGAAAUGCAUGAACCGGUGAAACUCCGGUACCGACGGUAUAGUCCGGAUGAAAGAAGAA